rnacentral:rRNA from 1 species
CGCUGGCGGCGUGCCUAAUACAUGCAAGUCGAGCGAACAGACGAGGAGCUUGCUCCUUUGACGUUAGCGGCGGACGGGUAAGUAACACGUGGAUAACCUACCUAUAAGACUGGGAUAACUUCGGGAAACCGGAGCUAAUACCGGAUAACAUGUUGAACCGCAUGGUUCAACAGUGAAAGACGGUCUUGCUGUCACUUAUAGAUGGAUCCGCGCCGCAUUAGCUAGUUGGUAAGGUAACGGCUUACCAAGGCAACGAUGCGUAGCCGACCUGAGAGGGUGAUCGGCCACACUGGAACUGAGACACGGUCCAGACUCCUACGGGAGGCAGCAGUAGGGAAUCUUCCGCAAUGGGCGAAAGCCUGACGGAGCAACGCCGCGUGAGUGAAGAAGGUCUUCGGAUCGUAAAACUCUGUUAUUAGGGAAGAACAAAUGUGUAAGUAACUAUGCACGUCUUGACGGUACCUAAUCAGAAAGCCACGGCUAACUACGUGCCAGCAGCCGCGGUAAUACGUAGGUGGCAAGCGUUAUCCGGAAUUAUUGGGCGUAAAGCGCGCGUAGGCGGUUUUUUAAGUCUGAUGUGAAAGCCCACGGCUCAACCGUGGAGGGUCAUUGGAAACUGGAAAACUUGAGUGCAGAAGAGGAAAGUGGAAUUCCAUGUGUAGCGGUGAAAUGCGCAGAGAUAUGGAGGAACACCAGUGGCGAAGGCGACUUUCUGGUCUGUAACUGACGCUGAUGUGCGAAAGCGUGGGGAUCAAACAGGAUUAGAUACCCUGGUAGUCCACGCCGUAAACGAUGAGUGCUAAGUGUUAGGGGGUUUCCGCCCCUUAGUGCUGCAGCUAACGCAUUAAGCACUCCGCCUGGGGAGUACGACCGCAAGGUUGAAACUCAAAGGAAUUGACGGGGACCCGCACAAGCGGUGGAGCAUGUGGUUUAAUUCGAAGCAACGCGAAGAACCUUACCAAAUCUUGACAUCCUCUGACCCCUCUAGAGAUAGAGUUUUCCCCUUCGGGGGACAGAGUGACAGGUGGUGCAUGGUUGUCGUCAGCUCGUGUCGUGAGAUGUUGGGUUAAGUCCCGCAACGAGCGCAACCCUUAAGCUUAGUUGCCAUCAUUAAGUUGGGCACUCUAAGUUGACUGCCGGUGACAAACCGGAGGAAGGUGGGGAUGACGUCAAAUCAUCAUGCCCCUUAUGAUUUGGGCUACACACGUGCUACAAUGGACAAUACAAAGGGUAGCGAAACCGCGAGGUCAAGCAAAUCCCAUAAAGUUGUUCUCAGUUCGGAUUGUAGUCUGCAACUCGACUACAUGAAGCUGGAAUCGCUAGUAAUCGUGGAUCAGCAUGCUACGGUGAAUACGUUCCCGGGUCUUGUACACACCGCCCGUCACACCACGAGAGUUUGUAACACCCGAAGCCGGUGGAGUAACCUUUUGGAGCUAGCCGUCGAAGGUGGGACAAAUGAUU